GACAUUAUAUAGAAAUAGCAAAAAUAAGUAGGUUAUGAUCGUUACAUUGUGAGAGGCGUCAAAUUUGGCGAUGGCGCCGACGCCUUGCCAAACAUCACAAACUCGCGAAGCUUCGAGGCGGCAAGCUUGCUUCUGCGGCGUGAUUUGGGGGCGACCUUCGCACUGUCUUUUGUUGAAGCAAAGCACAGAGGAUGACCGCAAGUUUGAGAGAGAGCAGCCAGUGGUGAUGGAGAGCGUGCGCGGCGCUCUUCGUUCGAGAUUCGAGCGGUGGAGGCACGCCGGUGCUAAGGUUCAAUCCUUCGUCCUCUUCAGAGGAGAAUCGAGCAGGAGACGGCUCUCCGGCCGGGU
rnacentral:lncRNA from 1 species